GUAACAGUUGAUGAGAAUUAACUGCAACAAUAUGAUAUUUUUCACUGAUUCCUGCAUUUAAGUCUCUAAUGUUU
rnacentral:snoRNA from 1 species